rnacentral:rRNA from 1 species
CGGACGGGUGAGUAACGCGUGGAUAACCUGCCGUAUACUGGGGGAUAACACUUAGAAAUAGGUGCUAAUACCGCAUAAGCGCACAGUCUCGCAUGAGACGGUGUGAAAACCUCCGGUGGUAUACGAUGGAUCCGCGUCUGAUUAGCUUGUUGGCGGGGUAACAGCCCACCAAGGCGACGAUCAGUAGCCGGCCUGAGAGGGUGAACGGCCACAUUGGGACUGAGACACGGCCCAAACUCCUACGGAAGGCAGCAG